rnacentral:lncRNA from 1 species
AUAACUCAGAACAGGCUGCCAGCUGUGUUUCCUCAGCUGCAGUGCAAGUGGGGCAUGCUCCGUUGAGACUUUAUUCACUCUGGGCAGUUUGUUGAAGAUUAGGUGGUCAGCUCACAAUGAAUCAUAAGCUGCUUUUGUCCCUUGCUGUCUAUGCUUAGAAGCUAAAAGGUUAAGCAGCGAUGUCAGCGCUAUCAGGGAGCUGUGGAGACUGGAAUUGAAGUUCAGAACCUUUCAUGGGAGACAGCUCAGAUGUAUUUCUGUGCAAAACUUGUCUCCAAGGAAGACUCUAAUCUUCUAAACUCUGGAUUUAUAUGAUUUCUCAAUAUGCUAUAUCAACCUCAUUUUGCUAAUAAUGAUACAGGACGGAGGCAGCAAAGUUCUGGAUAGAGAAGGAUGGGGUCCCUGGUGAGGGCUCCACCCUCAGGCCUGUGCCCAUGGACCUAAGUAUGGACAAGCACUCCUGUUUUUGCACCCAAAUGUUGCAUUUUCCAAGACCACUCUGACCCAACACAUGCUCCAUCCUGUGCUUAUAAAAAUCCCGAGACCCUAACAGGCACACACAGAAGUGGCUGGACGUUGAGAGGAGCAGAAGAGCACACUGACAGACACCAGCAAAUGCUCGCAGGCCAUCGAGGGCAGGAUGAGGAUGACUUGGAAUUUGGCAGGGGAUGAUUAGAGGAGAGUCUGGCCACUGGGCAGCCAACUCCACAUUCCCACUUAAUCCUCCUUCUGUUCUCCCCAUCCAUCUUGCUGAGAGCUACCUCCGCUCAAUAAAAUCUUGCACCCACCCUCAAAGCCUAUGUGUGAUCCAAUUUUUCCGGUACAUGAAGGCAAGAACCCAGGAUACAGAAAGCCCUCUGUCCUUGUUGAGCUAAUUAACAAAAGCCACUUGCAGAUGGCAAAACUGAAAGUGCACACUGUAACACAUGCCCACUGGGGCCUCAGGAGCUGUAAACACUCAAGCCUAGAUACUACCAUGGGAUUGGAGCCCAAAAUGCUUUCCACAGCCUCCCUGACUGCAUGCUCCCCACCCGCUUGGGGUUUGAGCAGAGGGGCACCAAAGAAGCCAGUCACACCCCUGUUGCAGUCCCUAUGAAGGGGAUAAAGGAACUUUUCUUGUUUCAACUGGGGGCUUGUCCGGAAUCCCCAAAGGUGAGUGCAAAUGUGAAACUGUCAGAUCUGCCUCUUUUCCAAAACCCGGCCACCUCUCUCUCUCUUUCCUGUGGGUAAAAAGCUCUGUUUCCCUUCAUGGAGUCUUAACUGCCCUAACUGGGCUGGUUAAAAUCCCCAGACUUCUUAUUUUUUUCUCUCUUUCACUGUUUGAAAUGGCUCUUAUAUCUUUCUUUAUAAUGUUAAGAGUUUUGCUACAGGCUGCCAAAGGUGCAAAUCAGAC